GAAACGUCCGUUUUUUAGGACCCCGUCUUUCAAAGAUAAUUCGUAAAAAUCCAAAUAACUUCACAGAUCUUCACUGUAAAGGGUUUAAACACUAUUUCCCAUGCUUGUUAAAUGAACCAUACUGCCCUCCCAAGCAAAAAGGCAGUAACUGCUCAUUUGGUCGAAAAUGAGUUAAUGUCAUUUUUUGUUACAUUUAAUGCAUGCUUAAUCAUGUGGACAUGUAUCCCGCCACUAUUGUAAUGUGUUUUGGAGAAAAUGGGGGUCGUAUUAGCAGUAACUGCAAAAAGUUACUGUGAAACCAAGGUAAAUGGCAGUAAGUGAACUUACUGCCUUUUAGCUUGGUUUCAACCUGCCCUUGGCUGCAGUUACUGCGUUUAACCUUUGUAUCAUAUCAUUUUAUUCUGAUAGUGAUGCAAUCGAACCUGUUUGACACUGACUGACAGCUACACACACAUACAUUGCUAAUCUAGGGAUACAACACCAUGGCACAGCAUUCCCGGGAGAAAUGAUGGUUGAACUCGCUCUGAAACGCCGACAUCCAGACACUGAUGUAGCCUGGCAAAAGCAAGUGACAUGGGCUGCACGUCAUCCAGGCUACCCAUCAGAGGACCCAGAGGACUUGCAGGUGACCAAGCGUUUCCAGGCCUUCUGGACUCCCCGGAAGAAGUCCCGGAUGCCUUUCCUCAUCUUGGAUAAUUUAACUGGCAAGAAGAUGAAAAUAUGUAAGAAUUUCAGAUGGACAAUUGUCUGAAAAAACAAUAAUUUAUUUUAUACUUUAUUUUAUUUUUUUAUACUUUAUACUUCUUUAUAUAUAAUUGUCAAAUAAGAACAUUUCCCACCAGGAAUACUCACUCAUAGGUGGAGAAUCCACAAGUAAUGUACAUCUCUGGCUGGUUUGUAGUGUCUGUAAGGACAAUGCUCAUGUUGGACUGUGAUCAGAAUUCAAGAAUGCACAAUUCAAUGCACAAUUUCACUUCCUUUACAUAUUCUUAUAAUUAUACAACUAUAUUUACUGGUGCCGAUAUCAAAAAGCACAACCAAUGACCAUUCAAGAGUAAUCUGAGCUUGUCUUACGUUUCUGUUGGUGGCAUAAUGCACCCCCUCAGAUUCCGCAUCCUCCAAAUCAUUACUGCAUGAGUCUUCAAGGUCUGAGGUCUCACGGUCAUAUGGGUUGGAAACUGAGGGUUUCAAGAUGGCCAGUAGCUUGUGGGAAACAAUGACAGAGACAAUGGAAAGCAUCUCCUGAUCCUCAAAUAAAUCGUAAAUUUUCAAGGAGCGUUUUAAACGCUUGAACUUCCCAAGGUCAGUGGAGAUGGCAUCUGCCAGCUUCGAUGUCAUCUUAGAAUUGAAACUUUUUUUGCUGCCUUUCCAUUUCCUCAAUCAGAUAUUUGGCCACCUCCUCAUCAAACAAUCGGAUCAGCUCAGUCACCAGAUCACUGAUCUGGAUGCGCUGACGCUUGUUGGUCCUUUUUGGCAUACGGCAUAUCUUCUGGACAAGCUUCAUCAGGACUUCUUCUAAUAUAAGCUCCCUAAUGAAGCUGGUGGAACCGGAUGUCACUUGUUCCACAGUGGACCACUCNNNNNNNNNNACGCUACUCUCCCUAGGAGUGGCCGUCCUGCAAAGAUGACUUCAAGAGCACAGCGCAGAAUGCUCAAUGAGGUUAAGAAGAAUCUUAGAGUGUUAGCUGAAGACUUAAAGAAAUCUCUGGAACAUCCUAACAUCUCUGUUGACGAGUCUACGAUACGUAAAACACUAAACAAGAAUGGUGUUCAUGGGAGCACACCACGGAAGAAGCCACCGACUGUCCAAAUAAAAACAUUGCUGCACGUUUGAAGUUCACAAAAGAGCAUCUGGAUGUUCCAGAUUCUGNNNNNNNNNNCAUCUCUGUUGACGAGUCUACGAUACGUAAAACACUAAACAAGAAUGGUGUUCAUGGGAGCACACCACGGAAGAAGCCACCGACUGUCCAAAUAAAAACAUUGCUGCACGUUUGAAGUUCACAAAAGAGCAUCUGGAUGUUCCAGAUUCUGUGAAGAGAUGAAACUAAAGUUGAGUUGUUUGAAAGGAACACACAACAUUAUGUGGAGAAAAAAAAAGCAACGCACAGCAAUAUCAAAACCUCAUCCCAACUNNNNNNNNNNUCCAGAUUUUUGGUGCCUUGAAGUUUGGAUGGUGCAUCCAUAAUUCCGUUCGUGACAAGACAGACAAUGUCCUUGUGCAGCUUGGGUGCCUUGUGGCACAGUAUCUUCUGUAGGGCUUCCUCUGUGCCAUAGCGUUGCAUCAACUUGCUAUGCACAGACAGCACCAACUGAAAGAUGUCUGUUGCCUUCAGGCAGACAUUUGCUUCCCUCCACCUUCACCCUCACAUAGUCACCCUCACCCACAGAGCACUGGACAGCUUGUGGUCACAUCCUCAACUAGCGUCCAGCUGGCCAGUUUAUCCUGGGUACGAGGAACAGUCAGAGACCGCAGCCGGACAAUGAUAUCCAUCACCACCUCUACAUGAACAAUAAUAUACACCGGUUGGGAUGCCUUCACCUCAGCCG
rnacentral:lncRNA from 13 species